AACAACUGACAUGUUUAUUUCAUUUGAUUGAAUUGAGGGAUUUGCCGGGCACAAUCGGGAUAAAAUAUUAAAAAUAGUUGAUUGUAAAAAAGUUUUAUAGUCCAAAUGGAAAAAGAGAAGAUUUACUGUGUGUCGUGUCGGAAGAAAACAAACACAACGAAUGUAGUACCUUACACAGAUCCAAAGUCUAAGAAAAGAAUGCUCAAAGGCAUUUGUACCGUAUGCAAGAAAGGAAAAUCAAUGUUUGUUUGACAGGACCACUCUUUACUUUCAGUACACUAAUCGUUCUAUAGAGAUUGUUCAUUUGACAGGACCACUGUUUACUUUCAGUACACUAAUCGUUCUAUAGAGAUUGUUCAUUAUGAUUUUUCUUUAUUGUAAAUUCUGACUAUAUGACCAUAUAUGUCUUGAUGAACUGUGUAAUGUGUAAUGUGUAAUUACUGGAACAAUUCAACAAUCAAAACUUGUAUAAAGACAAAGCAAAAUCAA